rnacentral:RNase_P_RNA from 2 species
CCAGCUCGAAAGCCACGAAUGCUCAUCACGUACAGGUUGCUUCAUGCUUCCGCAUUUCUGAGCGGGCUAAGGUCUGAGUAUUUCAAUCCCCCUUGAUCGGCUCUAGCGGAGCCCGGCUGUAAUCAGCCGCGCGACGUACCAGAAAAGCAGCUUCAUUUUCACAUCCCCAAGAUUCUGUCACGGCAGAGGAGGGCGAGGAUGAAAGCUUUGAAAGCGUUGCGGGGAUCGGGCAAACUUGUGUUCAUCGUGUUGCAGUCCUAUCGCGCGUGCGCCCGUCAAAAUGGCGCUCAGGACCGAGAAGUCUGGUGUCUGCUGAGGCACUUGGUCUCAGGGCACUUGCCGCGGAUCCUGUUCAUCCAGUCCAUUGCAUGUGUUGACGUUGCCCAUCAGAAUGAUGGGUGAAGGUGCACAUGUAGACUGCAGGUGAGGUAUAUUGCCAUGGUGCCUACUCUACCACUUGUCCGCUGCCAGCAUUUCCGCUCGGCUUGGUGUUGAACAACCGCUUAUGGCUGGAGGUGACUUCACUCCCGGGGUUGUUACUCUCUUUGCGUAUGAGGGAUAUAUGCGAUAGCACUGGUUUGUCCUUGAGUUCACUUCGUGGCUCGCGUAUCCUUCGUGGAUCGUGAAACUCGAUUCAGACUACUCUUGGGCUGG